CUCAUAGUCACAAUACUUGUGUUUAAAUAAACAAACAAAAUAAAGUUUCCAUUUAUAACUAAAAAAAAUUUUUAAAGAUAAAUCCUAUCCAAGGUGGAAACAGAAGAGAUAUGAAGAAUGAAGAGGGGUAGACUUCAGAAAGGGUGGUUACAAGAGCAGUUUAUAGAAUGGUAUCUAAGUUAAGUCUCAGACUUUCAAUUGGUCGUUGAAACUAGUGAAGGGAUGACUGUUCUGGACAGAGGGGACAGAAGAGCAAAGGUCCUGAGGAACAACUUGGCAUUUUGGAAGAACAGGGAGAAGACCAGUGUGGCUCUAGUAUACAAUACCUUGAGGGAGGGAGAGAACUACCAUAAGAAAUAAAUUAAAUAGGUGAAGGAGAGGGAGGCCUUACAUUUUAUAUUUAAUGAACCUCUACUUGGGCAUUUGAAACAGAGGAGUUCAAGGAUGUGGUUUAGGCUUUAAAUCACCUUGGUUAAUGUACAGAGAAUAGGUAGAAUGAGCCAUUGGGAGACUGACAAAGAUUAUGGUAGAUGAGAUAAACUCCUGUGAUAGCACUGAAGGUGAGAAAAGCAGAGCGAGUAGAGAGGUUAAAGGCAAAUGAUUAACUCAUUUUGACAUUUUUUAGUUAUCCAGGUCCAGGGACAACUAUUCAGAAUCCAGUGCAUUUAAUAACCUCUUUAGAGACUGAUGCUUGUAUUGAUGACUCUCAAAUUAUAGUAACAACCUUGAGGAUUGUGUUGGGUUGAGAGUCAUUUUUCAUGAACUUUCUGGAAUUUUCUUUCUUUUUCAACUUCUGAUUGCAAUAUGAUAUGCAUAUAGACAAGUGCAUAUAUCCUAAGAACAUUACUGCUCAAGUAAUGUUCACAACCAAAACAUAUCUUUGUAUCCAGAAUCCAGGUCAAGAAAUAGAACAUUAGUAAUCCUAGGAACCCCAUCAUACUGCCUUCCAGUCACAGCUUCCUCCCAAGGGCAGCCUCUAUGCUGACUUUGAACAACAUAGUUCUAA
rnacentral:lncRNA from 1 species